UGGACCAGUGAUGACCGCUGGUGGCUUUUGAGUCAUGGGUGAUGAAUAACAACAUGUCUAGAAGUCUCAGACCCAC
rnacentral:snoRNA from 1 species